UGCCAAUUGCUGCGGUCCCAGUCCUAUCAGU
rnacentral:piRNA from 1 species